UCCAAACAAAAAAUGUGUGUCUUUUGAUGAUGUCUUGAGCAUUGUCCACGAGUCACAGUUUAUCCUGAGAUUUUGCUUUUCUAAUGUCACUUGCACACAUAUUUAUCACUCUUUAUAUUCAUUAUUUAACUUAUGGCCAUGUUCUUUUUUUUAAUUUUUAUUUUAUUUAUUUAUUUUUUUUCAGAGUAGCAAAAAUGUUUAAUUUUACAAUGCCAACUGUGGGCAAGGAUGCGAAGCCACCACCACUCAUACAUUCAGGCAGACAUGUGUGCCCUGGAGGGAAGAAAGUAGAGGACCAGC
rnacentral:lncRNA from 13 species